AGCAAAAAUGGCUCUCAAAUAUUGAACCCUAACUCAUACAAAUUGACCAAAUCAAGAAGGCAAAUUGAAUUCAAAUCAAAAACCAAGCUCAAACUAGUGAUCACUCAAGUGAGGGGAUCACAAGGCAAGGAAAUCGAAUGUUCAAGCGGCCAAUUGGAGCGGACGCGCGCGCUUGAAGGAUAACCUUUGAAGGUGAUCGUAGUGUGCUCCCGGAUGAAGAUCAAGCGGUUAUCAAGAAUCGAACAUACGUCCAAACAAAGCUUCCGCGUUGAUCUAUUUUGUUUUAGUUAAGAGUGAACCUUGUAAACACUUGACAUUAUAUUUUGAACGUUUUAAACAUCUAUGAA